UGGGGGUCUCAGGUCCAGUUUGAGUCUCUGUUUGGGACGGUGGGGGUCUCAGGCCCAGUUUGAGUCUCUGUUUGGGACGGUGGGGGUCUCAGGUCCUGUUUGAGUCUCUGUUUGGGACGGUGGGGGUCUCAGGUCCUGUUUGAGUCUCUGUUUGGGACGGUGGGAGUCACAGGUCCUGUUUGAGUCUCUGUUUGGGACGGUGGGGGUCUCAGGUCCUGUUUGAGUCUCUGUUUGGGACGGUGGGAGUCACAGGUCCUGUUUGAGUCUCUGUUUGGGACGGUGGGGGUCUCAGGUCCUGUUUGAGUCUCUGUUUGGGACGGUGGGAGUCACAGGUCCUGUUUGAGUCUCUGUGUGGGACAGUGGGAGUCUGAGGUCCUAAUCUGGAAAGUCCGCAGCGCACUCUCCUUCUGAAAAGCCUCGUACUCCGGUAAGUGCACAUCUUCUCUCCAUAUGGCUCCCAGGGGUCAGGGGUCAAUUCCAUUUCCAUUUCUACCUGAAAUCGAUCUCCUCGCAGUGCAUCAUGGGUAUGUUUUUGUCAACUCGGAAACUGAAAUUUCA